GACUAACGCUGGCGGCGUGCCUAAUACAUGCAAGUAGAACGCACAGUUUAUACCGUAGCUUGCUACACCAUAGACUGUGAGUUGCGAACGGGUGAGUAACGCGUAGGUAACCUGCCUGGUAGCGGGGGAUAACUAUUGGAAACGAUAGCUAAUACCGCAUAAUAUUGAUUAUUGCAUGAUAAUUAAUUGAAAGGUGCAAUUGCACCACUACCAGAUGGACCUGCGUUGUAUUAGCUAGUAGGUGAGGUAACGGCUCACCUAGGCGACGAUACAUAGCCGACCUGAGAGGGUGAUCGGCCACACUGGGACUGAGACACGGCCCAGACUCCUACGGGAGGCAGCAGUAGGGAAUCUUCGGCAAUGGACGAAAGUCUGACCGAGCAACGCCGCGUGAGUGAAGAAGGUUUUCGGAUCGUAAAGCUCUGUUGUAAGAGAAGAACGGGUGUGAGAGUGGAAAGUUCACACUGUGACGGUAUCUUACCAGAAAGGGACGGCUAACUACGUG
rnacentral:rRNA from 1 species